rnacentral:tRNA from 1 species
GUUAGAAUGGCAGACUUAAUGCGCUGGAUUUAGGCUCCUUUUAUGAAAAAUUUUUUUUUUCUUUUAACU